AGCAAACGUUUGCGGCGGGCUUAACACAUGCAAGUCGAACGAGAAUCCCUUCGGGGAGGAAAGUGGCGCACGGGUGCGUAACACGUGGAUAACCAACCCAUUGGUUUGGGACAACACCGGGAAACUGGUGCUAAUACCAGAUGUGUCGCAGCUGUCUUCAGGCGGUUGCGAGAAAGGCCCGCAAGGGUCGCCAACGGACGGGUCCGCGUCCCAUCAGCUAGUUGGUGAGGUAAUGGCUCACCAAGGCAAAGACGGGUAGCUGGUCUGAGAGGAUGAUCAGCCACACUGGAACUGAGACACGGUCCAGACUCCUACGGGAGGCAGCAGUGGGGAAUAUUGCGCAAUGGGCGAAAGCCUGACGCAGCCACGCCGCGUGAGCGAUGAAGGUCUUCGGAUCGUAAAGCUCUGUGGGGGGAGAAGAAGAAAGCCGGUGAAGAGCCGGCCCUGACGGUAUCCCCUUAGCAAGCACCGGCUAACUCCGUGCCAGCAG
rnacentral:rRNA from 1 species